rnacentral:misc_RNA from 1 species
GUAGGUGAACCUGCGGAAGGAUCAUCACCAAGUUCGCUGGCCCCAGGGUUCGAAGCCCGGCAGGGCGACGAACCCUCGGCCUGCGAAUCAUGUUUUCAGCGCUGUGCACGAGUAGUGGGCCAUCGCCAUGCUGCCCGAUAGGGCGGCAGGGCGGAGAGCCAACAUUUACACCCGAUAGUCUGAAGCAUUAGUCAUACAAAUAGAACAACUUUUAUCAGUGGAUCUCUGGGCUCUCGCAUCGAUGAAGAAC